AUUGAACGCUGGCGGCAGGCCUAACACAUGCAAGUCGAGCGAGCGGCGGGCGGGUGAGUAAUGUAUGUGGCUCUGCCUGAUGGAUGGGGAUCACUACUGGAAACGGUAGCUAAUACCGCCAUGCAUCCGAUGAACCCAUAUGGGAUUAGCUUGUGGGAGAGGUAACGGCUCACCUAGGAGACGAUCCCUAGCUGGUCUGUGAGGAUGAUCAGCCACACUGGGACUGAGACACGGCCCAGACUCCUACGGGAGGCAGCAGUGGGGAAUAUUGCACAAUGGGCGCAAGCCUGAUGCAGCCAUGCCGCGUGUAUGAAGAAGGCCUUCGGGUUGUAAAGUACUUUCAGUCGGGAGGCGUUACCGACAGAAGAAGCACCGGCUAACUCCGUGCCAGCAGCCGCGGUAAUUC
rnacentral:rRNA from 1 species